rnacentral:rRNA from 1 species
UACGUAGGGUGCGAGCGUUGUCCGGAAUUAUUGGGCGUAAAGCGUCUGUAGGUGGCUUUUUAAGUCUGCCGUCAAAUCCCAGGGCUUAACCCCGGGCCUGCAGUGGGUACGGGCAGACUAGAGUGCGGUAGGGGAGACUGGAAUUCCUGGUGUAGCGGUGAAAUGCGCAGAUAUCAGGAGGAACACCGGUGGCGAAGGCGGGUCUCUGGGCCGUAACUGACGCUGAGGAGCGAAAGCGUGGGGAGCGAACAGG